GGGGUCUGGCUCUUGUUAUUAUACCCCUCGCGGUCAACGUGGACACGUCUCCACCUUAAUUUAAUCGAAAAUACACAAAAUUUUAUUCUUUGUUUGCAUAAAAAAAUAUGUAUACAGUUCUUUAUGUAUGUUGAAUGUUGAGUGAGAGUUGAUUCACGGCAAAAUGGCUUGUAGCAGUUGGUGUUCAGUGAAUUUCAUGGCAGUAUCCUCCAAUCCAAACAAGCCCUUAACUUCCUCUACUCUCCUCGCUUCAAAAUUAUCUUCAUCCUUUUCCCAAUUCCCCUUUUCCUCUAUAAAUUUUAAUUCAAAAUUAUCCCGAACCCAGUUACAUAAAUCAAAGAAUGCUCCAAAUUCAUUUGUUGUGUUGUCCGCGGGAUAAACGCAGAGCCUUUGAAGGUAGUGAUUUCGGGAGCUCUAGUUUCCGGUAAAGGAACCCAAUGCGAGAUCAUCACUAAGAAGUGUCUGGUUUUGCUACUUGCUAUUUCAUGAUGAAACAUAGAAGACAAGACAAUUGAAUUAUGUCAUUUUACAAUGUGCGGUAUGAUCUGGUGCACAUUGCGGCUGGAGAUCUUCUCAGGGCCGAAUUUGCUGCUGGGACGGAAAAUGGGAGGCUAGCAAAGGAAUACAUGGAGAAAGGGCAGUAGUCCCAGAUGAAAUAUUUGUCACGAUGGUUAAGGAACGUUUAUUACAACCAGAUUCUCAAGAAAAAGGCUGGCUUUUGGAUGGAUAUCCAAGGAGUUCUUCACAAGCGACUGCUCUUAAAGGAUUUGGCUUCAAGCCACACGUUUUCAUUCUUCUUGAAGUGAGACUACAGGUCCCUGAAGACAUCCUUGUUGAGAGAGUUGUUGGCCGCAGAUUAGAUCCUGUUACAGGGAAAAAAUAUCAUCUAUCCUCCCCGUGAAACUGAAGAAAUUGCUGCGGGGCUUACUCAGCGCUUUGAUGACACCGAAGAAAAGGCAUGAUUCAUUUUAAGUCUAUAUCUUGCAAAGUGACUUUGCUUAGUUGACUUAACAUCCUUUUUAAUUAGUCAGCCCAUGUCUCAGCCUUUUCUUGUGUGACUGUUUCUAAAAUGUGUAUAUUGUCAAGUGUUUGAGCAAGGUUCCUAUAAUGAAUUUUCAUUUUCAGGUAAAACUGCGUUUAGUCACUCAUAACAAAAAUGUGGAGGCAGUGCUUUCUAUGUACGAAGAUAUAACAGUUAGGGUAUGUAAUGAGUUCAUUUCUGCUAUAACACCUUUGCAGUUGACUGACGGAGCACUAGCAUGUCAAAUAGGUUAUUUACUUGUGACUCUAAAAAGUAAACUCCCUUAUCAGAUCGCCAUUUUAACUCUCUCUACACAAGCAAAAUGGCAUUGAAGGUGGUUUCUUCUCAUAUAAGAAUACCUGCGCAUACAACGCUGUCAAGUUUGAGGUUAUUUUUCCUACUUCGGCUCAACGAAGUGGAGUAAAUAUUCCAGGGAAGAUUUCUGAAAAUUGAUUUAAAUUUAUGAAUUGGUUAAGCACCAGCACCAAUUAUAGCUAGUUUUUUUUGCUGUUAUUUUGUCUGUGUUUUCUUAUACUAGCCUUUGUCACGUGCGUUGCACGAGUUUUGUAUUUUUAUUAGCGUUAAAAUUGUAAAUUUUCCAAAACUUGUUGAAAAUUCGAAGUUUUUGGUGAA